rnacentral:pre_miRNA from 1 species
GUUGAGGGGAAUGCUGUCUGGUUCGAGACCAUUAGCGGUUUGAAGAAAGCGAAGAACAUAACCACCUGAAUGAUCUCGGACCAGGCUUCAUUCCCCCCAAC